CUUUUGGUUUAGGCAGAAAAGCUCCUCCAAGUUUGAUUCCAAAAACUAUAUCCGACUCCCUUCUUUCACCUCUCUAGUCCAUGAAGGACAGGAGAGACGACAGGAGGUUACAACUGCAGCACCCGCCCAAAGCUGACUGAGACAGCAGGAAGUCUCCAGCCCACUCUCGUCCAUCCACUCCCAGCGGAUUCCGCGACUCCGAGACCGCAGUCUACCCGCGAGUCCCCAUAAUGCAGGGCAGAGCAGCUGGGCUGAAUAAAACAGAGCCGGCGCCCUCCCUUCCCAAAGGCCUAAGCUGCCCACCGGUCCGGGCUCGAAGCUCAGCAGAAACAGAGAAGGAGCGGCUGUUGCCGGCACCAAGGAGUGCUCUCCUGGACUGCCGUGCGAGACAGAGCAGUGGUGGCCACAAAACAAGAGAAGAAUCCUGAGAAGAUGUUGCUGAUCCCAAAGGCAAUGAAUUCCUAAGGGAGAGACUGGAUGACAGUGAUGCUACAAAUUGAAUCUUUGCAAGACCUUAGCUGGGUAUUUCAGGAAGUACAUUAAGAAUGAAAACUCACGUGCCCACCCUGCCUGGUGGUCCAGUUUAAUUUUUACCAUGACAGGUACUUGGGGUCCUUGUACGACAUCAGGAGUUUGGACUCCAUACCACCCAAGAGAGGUCUCAUUGCUCUCGAUUACUUUUAAAGUUGACGAGAAAUAGCACCUGAUCCUUUUCUAAGUUUUUUCACUGCCUCGUGAAUGAAAUGUCUACAGCUCUCACAUAAAGUGUUUUUCUGUAGUUGAAUACUUGCUACAAAGCAUAUCAUGACUAGCAAUGCUGCUAUUCUGCUUGAUUACUAACCAUUUAACUGUUGUCAUCACUAUACUGUAUUUUCAGAAACGUAUAGGUACAGAACUUGAAAAUUUGCAAGCAGUGUGAAAUCAGCUUAACUGGCAAUGUAUCACAUGCCCAUACAAACUGCCUGUAUAUAUUAAUUGCACGGUGAACCACCUUAACUUAAAGUGGUCACAACUAUUAUUAAUAAUGUUUGUUGCGCUGUUUGGUCAUAUUAUAAUUGCCAUUAAAAGUAAUUACCAAGAGGUACUGGGUUACAUGAAGAA